rnacentral:rRNA from 1 species
UGCCAGCCGCCGCGGUAAUACGGAGGGGGUUAGCGUUGUUCGGAAUCACUGGGCGUAAAGCGCGUGUAGGCGGCUUGGCAAGUCGGAUGUGAAAUCCCGGGGCUCAACCCCGGAAGUGCAUUCGAAACUGCCUCGCUCGAGUUCUGGAGAGGAAGGCGGAAUGCUUGGUGUAGAGGUGAAAUUCGUAGAUAUCAAGCAGAACACCCGUGGCGAAGGCGGCCUUCUGGACAGUGACUGACGCUGAGACGCGAAAGCGUGGGGAGCAAACAGGAUUAGAUA